UGCUUGAUGAUGAUUGUCUCCUACGAUUGUCUUGUUGACAAAGUGAAAGCACCUUCACCGGCACUGAGAGCA